rnacentral:rRNA from 1 species
CCCUACGGGGGGCAGCAGUGGGGAAUAUUGCACAAUGGGGGAAACCCUGAUGCAGCGACGCCGCGUGAGCGAUGAAGUAUCUCGGUAUGUAAAGCUCUAUCAGCAGGGAAGAAAGUGACAGUACCUGACUAAGAAGCCCCGGCUAACUACGUGCCAGCAGCCGCGGUAAUACGUAGGGGGCAAGCGUUAUCCGGAUUUACUGGGUGUAAAGGGAGCGUAGACGGUAUGGCAAGUCUGAAGUGAAAGCCCCGGGCUCAACCUGGGAAUUGCUUUGGAAACUGUUAAACUAGAGUGCUGGAGAGGCA